GAUGAAGAACGUAGUGAAAUGCGAUACUUGGUGUGAAUUGCAGAAUCCCGUGAACCAUCGAGUCUUUGAACGCAAGUUGCGCCCGAAGCCACUAGGCCGAGGGCACGCCUGCCUGGGCGUCACACGCCGUUGCCCCCCCAUCUACUCCUUCGGGAUUGCGGGGGGGCGGAUGAUGGCCUCCCGUGCGCCUAGCCGCGCGGUUGGCAUAAAUACCAAGUCCUCGGCGACGCACGCCACGCCAAUCGGUGGUUGCGAAACCUCGGUUGCCCGUCGUGUGCGUUCGUCGCGCAUCGAGGGCUCGAAAAAAUGCUCGGCUCCGGCUGGGCUUUCAACGCGACCCCAGGUCAGGCGGGGUUACCCGCUGAAUUUAAGCAUAUCAAUAAGCGGAGGA
rnacentral:misc_RNA from 1 species